UGUACAGGGCAACAAUCAGAGAGAAAAGAUGAAUCUCAAUACCUUUUUUCUUUGCAAAUAUGCUUAAGGAAAGCUGAAGGAUUCAAGGAGCCAGCAAUCUCCUGGGAGGGGAAGAAUAACUGCUCUGGCCGCAGUGAUUGGCCAUAGUGGCUGCUCUCGAGGCAAGGAAUCAGCCGUGGGAAGACCUCCGGUGAGAAAGGGAGGAGUCAGGUGGCAACUUUCGCAAGGCUACAUUUCCAGGGAUGAUGAACCCAGUAAGUCUCUAUGGCAACAAGUGGAAGAAGAGGAGGAGGUCAAGAGUGGUGACAGUGUCUCUAUAGGCUCUGACAGGCAAGAGGAAUAAACAAAAGGAAGACAAAAAUGACAUAUCUACAGUGAUGGAAAGUGAUGUAUCUACAGUGAUGGAAAGCAUAUCAGUUUGCCAGAGACUGAGAAGGGGUUGUAUGUAGUGGACUGCAAAGGAACAGGAAGGAGCCUGGCGGUGUAAUGGCCAUGUUUCGCAUCUAAAUUUGGGUAAUGGGUAAUACUACUCAAAUGUUCACAUUUGCCAAAAUUCAUCACACAGUACACAUAGUGGGCAUAUCUAAUUGAUGUAAAGUAUACCUCAAUAAGGUUGGACUUUUAAAAACAAAAAUUCAUGAUACUGUAGCUAUAAGUUCAAUAUUUAAAGUGUAUAGAAAUCUAUUUUAUAGGUAUUGUAUAUAAACAUUUUACCACUUAUUAUUGGAAUUACAAAUGGCCAAUCUAAAGACUUCACAUUAGUUAUAAAUAAAGUCACUCUUUUAGCCAAAUGUCUUCAGUAGUUAUAUAUGUAUGUUGCAUGAAGAAGUUUUAAUUGCAAUUGCUCAAUUUAUAAUAAAGGAA